GAUGAAGAACGUAGCGAAAUGCGAUAAGUAAUGUGAAUUGCAGAAUUCAGUGAAUCAUCGAAUCUUUGAACGCACAUUGCGCCCCCUGGUAUUCCGGGGGGCAUGCCUGUUCGAGCGUCAUUAUAACCCUCAAGCUCAGCUUGGUGUUGGGGCCUGCUGCACUGGCAGCCCUUAAAAUCAGUGGCGGCGCCAUCUGGCUCUAAGCGUAGUAAUUCUUCUCGCUAUGGAGUCCUGGUGGAUGCUUGCCAUCAACCCCCAAUUUUUCUAUGGUUGACCUCGGAUCAGGUAGGGAUACCCGCUGAACUUAAGCAUAUCAAUAAGCGGAGGA
rnacentral:misc_RNA from 1 species